rnacentral:lncRNA from 1 species
UUUCUUCUGUCACUUGCACGCACUGUUUCAUUACUGCCUUUCUUCUCUUUUCUACCCCUACCUUCCAUUCUCAUCUUUCGCACGCACCAUCCUUCUGCUGCUCUCUACUAACAUGGGAUCAUGACAGCUACCUUCCCGGUGGUGAUCCUGUUAAGGGAAGCUUUCCUGAUAAAGGGAAGUUUCCUGAACUAAAGCUGUCAAAUAGGAAAUGCUUGUACACUGGAUCAUUUUGAACGGUGAUCAACUUUAAUCUUUAUUAAGUUUUUAUCAUGGAGAUCAUGAUGAUAAUUUCAUGUUGUGUUAUGCAAUUUCGUAUUGAGUCAAAAGAAAGUUUCAAAUUUGAAAUAAUCUUGCUCCAUUUCACACACACAAAAUGUAGGGAUAAAGUUACAUCUGAUUGAUUUUUAUCUGAAAAUUUCACGUAAUUUGCAUGCUCUAGUUUUGCACACUUAUUCCUAAGUUAUGUCUAUUUCAUUGAAAAGAUCACAAAACUGGGCUGCCAACCAUGUAUCAUAUACCGUUCUACGAACCGAUUAAUGCCUAUUGAGUACAAUGAAAUGUAAACGAGUCAAUGGUAACUCCAGAUAGCAUGGAUCAAUCAGUCUUUUUUUUUUAAAUGAGUGGAAGAUGUUCUUUACAGACAUAGUUCAUUGAAGUUUCAAAUUUUUUUUUUAAAGAUACAAAAUCAUUAAUUUGGGUAGCUUUCUUUCUGGCUAACCCUGUAUAUCGCACAAUAGUGAACAAAUACCCCCUUACCCGCACUGGCUAUGGAGGGCGGCCGCGGACAUAAAAGAUAAUUAUGAUGUCAUUUUUUUUGGGAAGGUUUUUUUUUUACCCCAAACCAAUUUUAUCUACCGUAUUUACCAUACACACAUUCACGAGUGCCCUCUAUCUAUCAAGGCCCAACCAGUACAGUACACGUGCCACAUAAGUGUUACUGAGUUUUCCACCAGCCUGGCGAGUGCACUGCACUGCAAAAAGCCCAUGCAAAAUAAUCUUCUCUCAUAAGAAUUUUGACUCCAGGAACAGAGGCCUCAUCGCCGACCAACGACUCAGCAAGGAUUCAUCGCGGGCCAGGACCAGCGGAGUACUUGAAGUUGUCGAGCCUGGUGAGAAUGAGACGGCUGUUUUGAAAAUCAACUGCCAUGACCGCACCUUCAUGACCAAGGCAUUAACUGCGCUCAAGUGUUACAUGCACGGGAAAACCAGUGAACCGAGAUUUGACUGGUCUUUACUUUCAUAACUCAAACUUAGUUGCUCCAUGAGUUGCUUGCGGUUCACUCCAUCUUCAAUCUCAUAUCUGCCAUGUAGCGCGUCUUUAUGGGAGGCUGUAUCUGGACAGAUGCUGUGUACAUAGGUGGUACCUAUUGAUCUUCUGCCAUGGGAACCAAGGUGCAGACAGGCCGCUCAGGAUGUCUGUGAUGGAUGAGGCACCAUCCUGAGGUCAUCAACACAUCUUCUCUGGCUUCUCUCAGGAUGAUUGAGUUCUCCAAACUGAAGAGACUGACCUUUGUAAACCAUGCUGAGGCUGGAUUGGACUCGACCAGUGCCUAGACUAUCGUGAAUGACUGCCUGCUGAGGCCUUUCCCCGGUGACAUUGAAGCCAUCCACACCGUAGCCGAUGAUGCCCUGGCCUGGAUGUCUACCCUGGCCUGGAUGUCUACCCUUGGCCUACAACUGUAGGCUGUGCACGCCAUACGAAAGAAGAAGUGCCUAGACUACCGGUAGGCAGGACAGGCUGGAUGACCAUCACCAUGCUGACUGGGAUGACCUUAAGGGUGACUGAUCACAUGACUGAGAUGCUGAGUCCUGGUGGAGGUUUCCUUGGUCUCAUUUGGAAGACUGCUGACAGGACUUGGCUGGACUGGAUCAAGUGGCUGCUGUUGGAGCAAUAUUUAUAAACUUUGAGCAAAUCCUUGGCAAUGAGAGGUUCCAAUCCAAUCAUACAAGAUAAUAUUCCGAGUCUAAAAAGUUAAGCAACAAAAGAGAAAUAGCAGACAAAAA